UGGGGCUAUAGGAGCCCACAUAGGGAAUGCCAGGCAGAUGACAGCAGAGAUGGUGACCAUGACGACGAUGAUGGCAGAAUCAAGUGCCACCGCAGGGCCUUUGCCCCUGCUGUUUCCUCUCCGCCUGGAAUGCACCGGCCACCUCCCAUCUCGGCCUUUGAUUAAAUUGUGCAGUCAUUUGUUGCUACAUCACUUGUCACCCAGGAAACCGCCAGCCCCCUGAGGGCAGGAGUCACAGCUGUCUUGCUCACUGCGGUCUCCCAAAUCUAACACAGGGUCUGGCACAUAAGAGCUCAAGGUUUUCGGAAUGAAUGAAUGAAUGAAAGAAGGAAAGUAGCCAGGAAGUGGCCCCUCUUGCCUGCAGUAUGGAUGGCUACCCUGUUCUGCUCAGGGGACUUGGCUGGCCCGGCCCUCCAAAGGGGUUUGCUGGGUUUGGGAAUGGGUGGGGGUUGGGAUCUUGUCGGGAAGGGGUGGGGCACUCCCUUUCUUCUCUUUUCUUUACUCAAAGGGCCAGAGGGCCUCCACGGACCCUCCCUCUCCAGCAGCCAGGGCACUGGUGAGGCAAAUAGCAUUUCUAAAGUCCUUUGAAGUUCUGGGCUGGAAGGCAAAGGAAACGUCCUCAUUGUUGGGGAAAGGGAUGAUGCUGCCAACACCUGUCUGUGCCCCCUUCCUCACUCCAUUUACCAGACUUUGGAAGCUCCUGGCCCUGGGGCAGGGUAAAGAUGCUGAGGCUCAGAGAGAUGAAGUGAUGUGCCCAAGGCCAGCCAGCUGGACACCAUCACAUGGGAUCCAGAGCCCACCCUGAUGACCUCAUCUCAGCUCGAUGACAUCUGCUAAGAUCCUACUUCCAAAUAAGGUCACACCCACAGCCCUAGCACAGAGCCUGGUGCAUGUCAGCGCUUAGAGGGGGGUCGCAGGAUGAACAAUGAGCUGAUGGAGUCAGGGUGUCCAGCCCCUCCUCCAUGCUGACCCCCUGCUCCUCUGGGAACGGCGGCAGCCCCAGCCCAGCUGGCAUCUGGGCGAGACAGGUCUCCGGGGCCGCCUUUCCCGUGGGUUGUUCUCCGAAAGAAGUGGUGUUGAUGUCAGCAGAUGCCUGUCACUUUCCUUCCCCGGCAAAAUCUCAACUGUCAGCGUAAGUGAAAUAGUCAUUGCCUAUCCCUGCGUUUGAGAUUUUAUUGACAGUUUCAUUGUCACCCAAAAAAACCUCCUUUUCUCCUUUGGUAUUUUCAUCAGGUGAUUCUGGGGGCAGGAGGGGGACACGGGGCUGGCUCCUGAAAACAGGUCUUGGCAGCUGGUGGGGGCUGGUUCCCCUGGCCUGGGGUCGGUAGGGGCAGAGACCCUCAUGGUAGGCUCCAGCAUGCCUUGGCUCCAGCCAAAGACUGCUUGGUAGCCCCUCCAGCAGGCAGGAGGGAGAUGAGAGACCAGAGGGCCCCUGGUCUCUCAUCUCCACAUCUCAAUAGCCACGGUGGCCAGAUGGGGCGGCCCAGACCCCGUGGUGGGUCUUUAGUCCCCUCGCCUGCCCUCCCUGGGUCAUCCGGGGGCUGGAGUGAGAGCGUGCAGGAUCAGACCCCCUAGGUGCAGUUCUUAGCUCAGCGGUAUGUACUUUAGGGCAAGUACUUUGCCCUACAGAUCCUCAGCGGCCCCAUCUGUUAAAUGGGGGUUAGUAACAGGUAGCUUCCAUUGGCUGAGGCUUCGUCUGCACCGAGUACCAGCAUCUGGUUCGGUCCUCACCAGAGCCCUGAGAGCUGGGUGCCAUCAGGAUCCUCACGUGAAUGAUGCAGAAAGGUGAGGCGGCCUGGCCAAGGCCACACAGCCAGGAAGUGGCAGACGUGGUGUGAAUCCAGGCUUGGAGACUCCUAGCUGGGCUGUGACUCCACCUCAUCGGAUCUGUAGGAGAGUGCAGGCAGCAGAAUAACACGGCGCUAGCACAUAGGAAAAAGCUGUCUGCCAUUUGUAUCAUCUCGGUCAUUGCUGGUGUUAGCAUGAGUGGAACUGGCCCCUUGGCAGUCACACUGGCCCCCUGGCAGCCACCCUGUCCCCGGGACCCUCUAGACAUCACUGGGUGGUGGUGGCCCAAUGGGGCCUGGAGCCAGCUCAGGGGGUGCACGGGGGCUGAGGACACGGCUAAGAGUUGUACCCCGCUCCAUGCCAAUGACCCCCUCUGUGCACCCCUUCCCUGGCCCCCAGCACGGCUGCAGGUGGGACGGUCAGGGACCAAGCGGGCCGCUGGCCACGGCGUCAGACCCAGGCCAUGCAACGCCGCGUCACCAUAUCCGAGCCACACCAACGGGAAACGGGGCCCGGCGAGCCACCCCAGCUUCGGGCUGCCAAGCCGGGCAGGUGAAUAGAAUACAGUUGUUACAACAAUGGAUUCUGGAGUCAACUGCAGCGGAGUUUGAGUUCUGGCGUGGCCACUGUGGCCGGUGAUGAAUCACUGAACCUCGGCUUUAUGCUCUGUACAGUGGGGUAACAGAAGCGCCCCUCAGAGGGGCAAGGCCUGAAUGCUACCGCCCAGAAUGCAUCAGCCCAAGGCUUGGCACACUGUGGAGAGGAGACACAAUCUCAGCACAUAAAAGCUCCUUCAAGAUCUCAGGCUCCAGACCCCUGCAGGUGCACAGGAGGACACUGAGCUCCGCCCCCCCAAACACACUGCAGAGCUGGGGCUUGCUUCUGGACCUCUGGACUCCUGGUCUACCUCCCCACCCGGCUUCUCAGCUGAGCCCCUUGGGGCCCCGGCCUGCCCUCCUCCCUGGGUCUCCGGCUCCCGCGGCUUCCAGAGCCCGAGCGGCAGGCCUGCAGCGAGGACUGCCAUUCUCCCUCUCCCCAGCACACUGAAGGUUUUGAAAGUUAAAGUAUUACCGUCGGCUUUGUUGUUGCCUAACUACGACAGACAAAUUGAGAACCAGUUGUCAAAAUGUCAGUGCACAACAAAUCAACAUGCAAACCGAGUCACAGCGCUCUGUGGUGUAUAAUUAAACAAAAAAUCCCUUUUAGAAAUUUCAGCGAGCGUUGGUUCCACUUUAUAUUUGUCUGUGUGAUUAAUAAAGGCAGCUAAUUUUCAGACUUUAAAAACAGCUAGAAAAUAGCUCCUAAUUACAUAUUAGGCUCCUAGCGGCCCCCGCUGAGCUCUGCCGGCAUUGGUGGGCCGGAGAAUUUGGCAGAGCCUUAAUUGCAUUCUGAGCAUCAUCUAAUUUUAGUUAAAUGUAAUGUAAUCAGCAGCA